AAUAAAUUUGUUUUUGGUCCACCAAACUGAGGCGACUUAACGAUGGAUCGAGAAUUCGAUGUCCGUCCUUCCAAUCCUCCUUAUCUCGCCUGCGAUGGUCCUUUCGCCGGCGGUCGGCCAUAGAACCUCGCCUGGUUGCAGCCCUAGGUUGAUGGAAGGUGGAGAUCCCCUCCUUGAGAAGCCCCAUUUCCGUAUCCUCUUCUAGACCGUAAUCCAGCUCUCUUCUUUUUUCCUCUACUUUUUCUUUUCCUUAUUUUUUGUUCGAUUUACCGGAAGAGAGACUGGGCAAAGCCUCGUCUGGUUCCGAUAUGGAGUAUUUCAUUCCAGAAGGUGAGUUUUAAGUUUUUUUAAAAUCUUUUUUCCUAUUUGAAUCCACUUCUUUAAUAUAAAAAAUCCUCUUUUUUUUUAUUCGGUUGGUUGCAGGAUCUAUAGAUCGGAGAGCAGGAAUCUGAGUGGCAGAGCCAAGAUUUCUUCCCAUUUCUAGCUAUUUUUGAUACAUCAAAUU
rnacentral:lncRNA from 1 species